AGGGCGGAGGGAGGGAGGGAAGGAGAGGAGAGAAGAAGAGGAAACUGCGUAUUGUAAGGAGGAGUUUUUAGCAUAGGGAGUAGAUAGGCCUGCUAGGAUAGAGAGGCAGAGGAAGGAAGAGGAAUUGAGCGGAAGGGAAAUGAGAAAUGGGACGAAACUGACGGAUUGAGGAAAGGAAAAUAACAUUGACGGAAGGGAAAUAAGAAAGGAAACCAAAUAACUAUAGAAGGCUUAGGGAGAAAGGAAGAGGAAUUGAACGGAAGGAAAUGAGAAAUGAGAAUCAAUUGAGAGACUAAGGAAAGGAAAAUAACAUUGACAGAAGGGAAAUAAGAAGGGAAACUAAAUAACUAUAGAAGGCGUAAGAGGAAAAGAGACUCAGAAGAAAGUAUUUACGAAGGAAGAGGAAUUGAGCAGAAGGAAAUGAGAAACGCUGGAUAAAGAAAGGAAGGGAAAAAAUUGGAGAUAAAGGAUGAUAGGGAAAGGAACGGAGGUGAAAACGAAGGGAAAGAAAGGGAGGAAGAAGCAAAGAUGAUGAAGAAAAAGAAGGAAAGAGAAGAAAAUGAAGAUGAAGAAUGAUAAGAGAAAGAAGGAGGGAAAGAAAGGGAGGAAGAGGCAAAAUAGGAUGAAGAAAAAGAAGGAAGAAGAAAAUGAAGAUAAAAAAUGAUAGGGGAACAAAGGAAGGAAUAACCAAAAAUAGAUGAAAAAGAAUAUAUAGAAAGUUAAAAAUGAAAAGAAAGAAAUAGCAAAUAUAAGAGAAUCAGUAUGAUUAGGAAAACAAGCAGAGAGGUCAAAACAAAACCUUCUACUAUUGCUAAAAGGAAAAUAUACAUGGGAAUCAAUUUACAGGAAGCGGAAAACGGGAUACCUAAUUUUGGGACUUACAGACAAGAAACAUAGACUGAAGCAUUUAAAUCUACACUCUCUAGAAAGGCGAAGGUUGCGAGGAGACUUGAUCGAAGUCUGUAAAUGGAUGAAGGGUUUUAAUAGAGGCGAUGUCAAUAAGAUUUUGGUUGUAGAAGAGCCAGGUAGGACGCAUAGGAAUGGUUUUAAGUUAGACAAAUUCAGAUUCAACAAAGACAUAGGCAAGAAUUGGAUCACCAGUAGAGCGGUGGAUGAAUGGAACAGGCUUAGCAGUCAUGUUGUGGGUGCCAAUACCAUAGAUACAUUCAAGAAGAGGUUGGAUAAAGUCAUGGAUGGUGAGGUAAGGUGGGGUUAGGAUUACAGGAGCUGCCUUGUUGUGGGUGCCAAUACCAUAGAUACAUUCAAGAAGAGGUUGGAUAAAGUCAUGGAUGUGAGAUAAGGUGGGGUUAGGAUUACAGGAGCUGCCUUGUUGUGGGUGCCAAUACCAUAGAUACAUUCAAGAAGAGGUUGGAUAAAGUCAUGGAUGUGAGGUAAGGUGGGGUUAGGAUUACAGGAGCUGCCUUGUUGUGGGUGCCAAUACCAUAGAUACAUUCAAGAAGAGGUUGGAUAAAGUCAUGGAUAGUGGGGUUAGGAUUACAGGAGCUGCCUUGUUGUGGGUGCCAAUACCAUAGAUACAUUCAAGAAGAGGUUGGAUAAAGUCAUGGAUGGUGAGGUAAGGUGGGGUUAGGAUUACAGGAGCUGCCUUGUUGUGGGUGCCAAUACCAUAGAUACAUUCAAGAAGAGGUUGGAUAAAGUCAUGGAUGGUGAGGUAAGGUGGGGUUAGGAUUACAGGAGCUGCCUUGUAUAGACCGACCGGCCUCUUGCAGACUCCUUAUGUUCUUAUACAUCAUAAUUUAAUAUAUCCACUUAACUAACAUUAGGAUAAGAGGAAUAGGCCUCAUUUUAUCUGGGUGUUUCCAUUAGCCAGGAUAACUAACACUAAUGACUACCACCUUGCCUCCAGACCUCACCUCACCCUCUUAAUCCCUCCCCUCAAACACAGCACAGGUCAACGGUACGAGUCUACGCAGCUGGCUUCUCAACUACCUUAUAUCAUUUCUCUUAUUCCCCCAUCAAUGUUUGCCUUGUUAGCCCUUAUAGUCAAUGUGUUUAGCCUGUAGCGGACACACACGUAGCCUCCCCCAAUGUGACACACUCUGUUGACACGCCACGCAGACACGGACACAUGGUAGCUCCAGACACACACCAGCGAGGAGGCGGUGAACGGUUGACUCUGUUGCUCCAGCGAUGACGAUGAUGAUUGGUCUUUAAUCUGUGGUACCCGUGAUCUGAUACGAACUUAUACAGUUUGUUUAUUUUUGUUUAUUUAUUACGGGAACGACGACACAGUUUACCGAAAGACAUGGUGACGCUGCCCUUCGUUCAGGCUUCCCAUGUACGAAAUUAUCGAUUAUCAUGUUUAUUUGUUCAUAUAUCUGUUUGUUUAUGAUGCGUGAGGAGACACCGUGGGCCAGAUUAAGGUGCCCGCGAUAUACGCCCACAAGGAAGACCGUAGAUUGUAAAAGAACGGUCAAAAUUUAGCUUCACGUGGGGUGGAAAACAAUCUGGUGAAAGAGGAAGAGAGGCAGAAGAGGAGAGACUUAAAUGAAGGUGGAAUAGGGAAGGACAGAAAUGGAUGUGUCAGAAAUAAAAAAAAAAAAGAGAAAUGGAAAGAACAAUGAUAAAGAUGGAAUAGGAAGUUGCAAAGGGGAGAUGAUGGAAGAGAUGGGGAACGGAAAAUGUGAGAGAAUGGAGAGACAGCAGAGAAGGAGAAAUGGAGUAGAGGAAGAAAAUGAGGAUAACGAAGGAGGGAAAGAGAGAUAGAGAGGAACAAAUACGUCAACAAAGAUACAGAUCCUGAACUCCAAAGAAAAUGAAAGACGCAACUAAAUGGAGGACUUAGGAAAUUGAAGAGGAGAUAACAUAAUGAAAAGAUGUUUGCUUGGUAUACAUAACUUAAUUAACGGUGAAUUCCAAAGCUGAUUAUAAGAGAAAUUCACGGAUAAUUAACAAGAAACACAAAUGCUAAACUCCGAGGAAAAUGAAGGAGACAAAAUAACAUAAUUAACGGUGAAUUCCAAAGCUGAUUAUAAGAGAAAUUCACGGAUAAUUAACAAGAAACACAAAUGCUAAACUCCGAGGAAAAUGAAGGAGACAAUAUAACUUAAUUAACAGUGAAUUCCAAAGCUGAUUAUAAGAGAAAUUCACGGAUAAAUAACAAGAAACACAAAUGCUAAACUCCGAGGAAAAUGAAGGAGACAAUUAAAAGGAGUGACUCAGUAAAGCGAAGGGAAGAUAUUUAAAAGCUGAUAAUAUGAGCGAUUUACGUAAAAAUAAAAUAGACUCAAAUGCCAAACUCCAAACGGAAACAAAAGAGACAGUUAAACGGAAUGACUCGAUUGACGGAAGAGGAAGGAUUAACGGAGGAAGUCAAAACAGCGCCCCAUCGCUUAAAAAAAACGUAAAUCGCUUCAUAAUAAACAAAGAAACACAGGACACAUAACUAAGCUCCCUCCUAAGAAACGUAACCUACUGAAAGGCUUGAAUACCUGCUCAGAGAAUGCAUAAACGUCAAACCAAAUAACUACAAUAACCAGAUAACUUAAGUCCCCCCAUUAAGAGACGCAAUUCUGAAAAACCUUAAACUCCCUCCAUCCAUUCAUUAGAGGCCAGACCAUUGUGCGUUGACCCCCAUGCGAGAAAUUUUUU